GUUCCGGGAGCCAGCCGGGGGUUGAGCCGCUGCUGACCUGGGGGAGAGACCUGGAUCCAAGCCCCCUCCACGCCCAGCCCUGGUGGGGGGCACUUUCUCCGGGGGCUGGAACCGGCCCCGGGCUCUGCCCGCACCAGCUGCUGAGCCGGAGCCUGCAGGAGCUGGUGGCUUUCCAUGAGGAGUCUGCGCCUCUCUGCAGGGUGCAGCGGGCUGGCGGAGAGCCCUCCGCAGGGACGCCAUGCAGGAGAAUUAUGAGACGCUGAUAUCUCUGGCAGAAGAGAUGGCCAUCAGCAUGCCGCGGAUCACCGCGAUGGCCGAAUCCCACCGCAGGGAGCUGGUGUCGGCGGGAUUUCCGAUUUCUAAGCCUGACCUGCUCUCCUGGAUGGAACAAGGGGAAGAACCGUGGGUCCCAGAUCUCCAGGCCUCUGAGGACAGAGAGAUCCCAAGAAGCAGCAGCCCAGGCGAAGGGUCAGCGAGUGAAGAGGAGGAGGAGGAGGAGGAGGAAGAGGAAGAGGAAGAGGAAGAAGAGGAAGAGGAGGAGCAGCCACCGGGAUCUCCUGGGAAAACAGAGCUGCAGGAGACAUCACCAGACAAAGAGGAGGUGGAGAAUCCCAGCGCAGGGCCGGAUGGGAAACUGCAGAGCUCGGAAGGGAAGAAUGAAGACAAACCUGCAGGCCAGACAGAAGCCCUCAAGCAGCCGCCGGCGCCUGCAGGGGUGGACAAGGCGUUCCGCUGUGCCGAAUGUGGGAAGACCUUCAGCCAGCGCUCCAACCUGAUCCGGCACCAGCGCCUCCACACCACCGACAAGCCCCACAAGUGCCCCGAAUGCGAGAAGAGCUUCGGCGAGUCGGCGGCGCUGGCCCGGCACCAGAAGUCCCACGCAGCCGGAAAGCCCUUCCAGUGCGGGGACUGCGGGAAGGGCUUCAACUGGAGCUCCCACCUGGAGCGGCACCGGCGCAUCCACACUGGCGAGCGGCCCUAUGAGUGCGGAGACUGCGGGAAAGGCUUCAGCGUCAGCUCCCACCUGGAGCGGCACCGGCGCGUCCACACCGGCGAGCGGCCCUACAAAUGCGACGAGUGCGGCAAAGCCUUUGCUGUCAGCUCCACCCUGGCCCAGCACCAGCGGGUCCACGCUGCUGACAAGCCCCACCGGUGCCAAGACUGCGGCAAAGCGUUCGGGCUGGGCGCCGCCCUCCUGGCCCACCAGCGGAAGCACCGGGGGGAAAAGCCUUUCCAGUGCCCCGAGUGCGGCAAAGCCUUCGGCUUCACCUCCCACCUGGAGCGGCACCGGCGCGUCCACACUGGAGAGCGGCCCUUCCAGUGCGAUGACUGCGGGAAGAGCUUCAGCCGCAGCUCCCACCUCUACCGGCACCGGCGGGUCCACACCGGGGAGAAGCCACGGAAAUGCGCCGACUGCGGGAAGAGCUACCACCUCAGCGCCGCCACCGUAGCCCAGCUCCAGGCCGCACCUGCUGGCAGCGCAAGGGAUCCCACCAAGUGUGCCGACUGCGGCCGCCGGCGCGUGCCACCACCAGCCGCCAUACCGGAGCCUGCCCCGGCGCCUUUGGGCUGUGCGGAUAAGCCCCACAAGUGCCCCGAGUGCGGGAAGGGCUUCGGACAGAGCUCCUCGCUCGUGAAGCACCAGCGGAUUCACACCGGCGAGCGGCCCUUCCAGUGCGGCGAGUGCGGCAAAUGCUUCGGCUGGUGCUCGGCCCUCAUCAAGCACCGACGCAUCCACACCGGGGAGCGGCCGUACCGCUGCGACGACUGCGGGAAGGCCUUCAGCGUCAGCUCCCACCUGGACCGGCACCAGCGCGUCCACGCCGGCGACAAGCCGCACCGCUGCCCUGAGUGCGGGAAGGGCUACGGCGAGCCGGCGGCGCUGGCCAAGCACCAGAAAUCCCACGCCGCCGGGAAGCCCUUCCAGUGCGGGGACUGCGGGAAGGGCUUUGCUUGGAGCUCCCACCUGGAGCGGCACCGGCGCAUCCACACCGGCGAGCGGCCCUACGAGUGCGGAGACUGCGGGAAAGGCUUCAGCGUCAGCUCCCACCUGGAGCGGCACCGGCGCGUCCACACCGGUGAGCGGCCCUACAAAUGCGACGAGUGCGGCAAAGCCUUUGCCGUCAGCUCCACCCUGGCCCAGCACCAGCGGGUCCACUCCAGCGGCCGGCCCCACCGCUGCAAGGACUGUGGGAAGCGGUUCGCAGCAGGGGCCCAGCUGCUGGCCCACCAGCGGGCCCACCGGGGCGAAAAGCCCUACCCCUGCAGCGUCUGCGGCAAGAGCUUUGGCUUCAUCUCCCACUUGGAGCGGCACCGGCGCGUCCACACGGGCGAGAAGCCGUACAAGUGCCCUGACUGUGGCAAGGCCUUCAGCCGCAGCUCCCACCGCAACCGCCACCAGAGAGCCCACGCCGCCACUGCCACCCAACACCGGCCCUUUAAGGGAGGGGGCGGGGCUGAGGUGGAGAAAGACUCCACUCCCUCUGGCCCAGCCAAACCACAGAGAGGACCUGCCGCUGCCACCGCCGAGGCUGCCCUCUCCCUCCUGCCAACCUGGUGGGGGGAAGGGGAGAGGAGGAGCAGCCAGCCCCCGGCCUGGGCAGAGGACGCCACAGCAGCAGCCGUUCCCUUCCCACACACUGCCGGGGGGCUACGGGGAUGGGGCAUGAAAACCUUCCCUGCCCCAGACGUGACUCCCACCCCAUGGCGGCUGGGGGAUGGUAGCUCAGGCUGGGCAUCCACCCUGCCCCAGGAGGCCUGGCCCCAGCUGCCACCCACUUCCUAACCAGCCUCCCAUCUUUCUCUGGAGCUGUUUACUGGGGCCAGUGGCCCCCUGCCCCAUUCCCAGAACGGGGGACAGGCAGCAGGCUCUCCUCUCUAGACUGGCAGGGUGGGGACAGACAGUGGGUGCUCCUGGCAGCUGUCGGGUGCUAACCCAGCCACCCCACCUGGCAGGGAUAUGUCCUGACCAACGAGAGGUGGUCUCCUGCCACGCAUGCACCCAUCUGUUCCCUGUCCCGCGGCCACCACUGGCCUGAGGAUGUGUCACCCCCGAGAGCACCAGGCUCACCCCCGGAUCCCACGCCCGAGGGGGAUGGGAACCAGAGGGGAGGAGGUCACUUGUGUAUCGGGGAGGUAUGGGGGGGAUGAGAAUUAUCAGGGGAAGGGGGUGAAUUAAGCACCGGGAGCACAAAGGAGGAGGUGAGGAUGAGGUGCUGGGAGGGGGCUGGAUUGAGUGCUUGGGAGGUAGGGUUGCCACUCAUCUGGUUUUCACCCAGACCGUCUGGGUUUUGGCUUGUGUGUCUGGGUGCCAUUUAACAAGCCCUGAUGUCCAUUUUUUUUAAUGGAGGGAAAGAGGAAGAGGCGGAGCAGGGAUGUGGGGCCUCAAGGAAAGAGGCGGUGAAUGGGGCGGGGCCUUGGGGAAGAGGCAGUGAAUGGGAUGGGGCCUUGGGGGAAGAGGUGGAGAAGGGGCGGGGCCUUGAGGAAGAGGCGGUGAAUGGGGCGGGGCCUUGGGGAAGAGGCAGAGAAGAGGCGGGGCCUGGAGGAAACAGAGCAAGGGAUGGGGCUUCAGGGCUCUGGUUACCAGCCAUUCGAAAGGCAGCCAACCUAUCUGGGGGGCUGGCAGAGGUGGGGACCUGUGUUUGGGGAACUGGGUGGGGAUGGCUGAUGGG